AUCAAAAUAGAUCAGUUGGGAGAGUGUUAGACUGAAGAUCUAAAGGUCUCUGGUUCAAUCUUGGGUUUUGGCA
rnacentral:tRNA from 1 species